UGACAGCCCCGUACACAAAAGCGCAUGUGCUGUGAGCUCGAUGAGUAGGGCGGGACACGUGGUAUCCUGUCUGAAUAUGGGGGGACCAUCCUCCAAGGCUAAAUACUCCUGACUGACCGAUAGUGAACCAGUACCGUGAGGGAAAGGCGAAAAGAACCCCGGCGAGGGGAGUGAAAAAGAACCUGAAACCGUGUACGUACAAGCAGUGGGAGCACAGGUUUACCUGUGUGACUGCGUACCUUUUGUAUAAUGGGUCAGCGACUUAUAUUCUGUAGCAAGGUUAACCGUAUAGGGGAGCCGGAGGGAAACCGAGUCUUAAUUGGGCGUUAAGUUGCAGGGUAUAGACCCGAAACCCGGUGAUCUAGCCAUGGGCAGGUUGAAGGUUGGGUAACACUAACUGGAGGACCGAACCGACUAAUGUUGAAAAAUUAGCGGAUGACCUGUGGCUGGGGGUGAAAGGCCAAUCAAACCGGGAGAUAGCUGGUUCUCCCCGAAAGCUAUUUAGGUAGCGCCUCGUGAAUUCAUCUCCGGGGGUAGAGCACUGUUUCGGCUAGGGGGCCAUCCCGGCUUACCAACCCGAUGCAAACUGCGAAUACCGGAGAAUGUUAUCACGGGAGACACACGGCGGGUGCUAACGUCCGUCGUGAAGAGGGAAACAACCCAGACCGCCAGCUAAGGUCCCAAAGUCAUGGUUAAGUGGGAAACGAUGUGGGAAGGCCCAGACAGCCAGGAUGUUGGCUUAGAAGCAGCCAUCAUUUAAAGAAAGCGUAAUAGCUCACUGGUCGAGUCGGCCUGCGCGGAAGAUGUAACGGGGCUAAACCAUGCACCGAAGCUGCGGCAGCGACGCUUAUGCGUUGUUGGGUAGGGGAGCGUUCUGUAAGCCUGUGAAGGUGUGUCGUGAGGCAUGCUGGAGGUAUCAGAAGUGCGAAUGCUGACAUAAGUAACGAUAAAGCGGGUGAAAAGCCCGCUCGCCGGAAGACCAAGGGUUCCUGUCCAACGUUAAUCGGGGCAGGGUGAGUCGACCCCUAAGGCGAGGCCGAAAGGCGUAGUCGAUGGGAAACGGGUUAAUAUUCCCGUACUUGGUGUUACUGCGAAGGGGGGACGGAGAAGGCUAUGUUGGCCGGGCGACGGUUGUCCCGGUUUAAGCGUGUAGGUGUGUGUUCCAGGUAAAUCCGGUUCACUUUAACACUGAGGCGUGAUGACGAGGCACUACGGUGCUGAAGUAACAAAUGCCCUGCUUCCAGGAAAAGCCUCUAAGCAUCAGGUAACAUCAAAUCGUACCCCAAACCGACACAGGUGGUCAGGUAGAGAAUACCAAGGCGCUUGAGAGAACUCGGGUGAAGGAACUAGGCAAAAUGGUGCCGUAACUUCGGGAGAAGGCACGCUGACACGUAGGUGAAGUGAUUUACUCACGGAGCUGAAGUCAGUCGAAGAUACCAGCUGGCUGCAACUGUUUAUUAAAAACACAGCACUGUGCAAACACGAAAGUGGACGUAUACGGUGUGACGCCUGCCCGGUGCCGGAAGGUUAAUUGAUGGGGUCAGCGCAAGCGAAGCUCCUGAUCGAAGCCCCGGUAAACGGCGGCCGUAACUAUAACGGUCCUAAGGUAGCGAAAUUCCUUGUCGGGUAAGUUCCGACCUGCACGAAUGGCGUAAUGAUGGCCAGGCUGUCUCCACCCGAGACUCAGUGAAAUUGAACUCGCUGUGAAGAUGCAGUGUACCCGCGGCAAGACGGAAAGACCCCGUGAACCUUUACUAUAGCUUGACACUGAACAUUGAGCCUUGAUGUGUAGGAUAGGUGGGAGGCUUUGAAGUGUGGACGCCAGUCUGCAUGGAGCCGACCUUGAAAUACCACCCUUUAAUGUUUGAUGUUCUAACGUGGACCCGUUA
rnacentral:rRNA from 1 species